rnacentral:rRNA from 1 species
UACGUAGGGGGCAAGCGUUGUCCGGAUUUAUUGGGCGUAAAGAGCGUGUAGGCGGCCUGGUAGGUCAGCUGUGAAAACUCGAGGCUCAACCUCGAGACGCCGGUUGAAACCAUCAGGCUAGAGUCCGGAAGAGGAGAGUGGAAUUCCCGGUGUAGCGGUGAAAUGCGCAGAUAUCGGGAAGAACACCAAUGGCGAAAGCAGGUACCUGGACUAUUACUGACACUCAGCUGCGAAAGCUAGGGGAGCAAACAGG